rnacentral:ncRNA from 1 species
AGAACUGAUAGUCCGAAAGGUGGAAUGAUAGGGUAACGCCUUGAAACGCCUUCCCUAAUACUCCGACUGGCAUUUUCUGUAAUGGAAUUUGUCAGAAGCUCGGUGAAGUCGGCUGAGAGAUACCGUAAGUCAUAUCAAGGUAUGAUACGAAAGUUGUUUAGAGAUAAAUGAUGUAUCCUAUAGGUCGGGGGUCUAUAAA